rnacentral:rRNA from 1 species
GGCCAGACUCCUACGGGAGGCAGCAGUGAGGAAUAUUGGUCAAUGGGCUUACGCCUGAACCAGCCAAGUCGCGUGAGGGAAGACUGCCCUAUGGGUUGUAAACCUCUUUUGUCGGGGAGCAAAUUCCGUUACGUGUAACGGAGUCGAGAGUACCCGAAGAAAAAGCAUCGGCUAACUCCGUGCCAGCAGCCGCGGUAAUACGGAGGAUGCGAGCGUUAUCCGGAUUUAUUGGGUUUAAAGGGUGCGCAGGCGGAUUUUUAAGUCAGCGGUCAAAUCGUGGGGCUCAACCCCAUCCAGCCGUUGAAACUGCGUUUCUUGAGUGGGCGAGAAGUACGCGGAAUGCGUGGUGUAGCGGUGAAAUGCAUAGAUAUCACGCAGAACUCCGAUUGCGAAGGCAGCGUACCGGCGCCCAACUGACGCUCAUGCACGAAAGCGUGGGUAUCGAACAGGAUUAGAUACCCUUGUA